AUCAUUGGAGGAUCUUGUUCAAAUGUAGAUUCUGAUUCAGUAGCUCUGGAUUGGGCCUGAGAUUCUGCAUUUCUAAUAAAUUCUCUGGUGAUGCC
rnacentral:pre_miRNA from 1 species